rnacentral:rRNA from 1 species
AGAGUUUGAUCAUGGCUCAGGACGAACGCUGGCGGCGUGCCUAAUACAUGCAAGUCGAGCGAUCCCUUCGGGGAUAGCGGCGGACGGGUGAGUAACACGUAGGCAACCUGCCUGCAAGAUCGGGAUAACUACCGGAAACGGUAGCUAAGACCGGAUAGGUGGUCUUUUCGCAUGGAGAGAUCAAGAAACACGGAGCAAUC